GGUAUCCAAUUUUUGAAGGUAUAUAUGGAAAAGUUUCUAGUUUUAACAUUAGCAUUGACUAGUGCCUGCAAACUGUUUGAUGAUAUUCCUAAACCAAUUUGUGUCCUUCAAUCAUUAGAUACUUCAUUAUUUGAUUGAAUAAAAUGGACAAAUAUAAAUUGUGGGUAUACUGCAUUUUGUUUCAUUCUUUGGUGUGCGACAAAAUGACACGAGGGUUGAUAUGGGCUACAGCAGAAGACUUGGCAAAGAAUAGAGGAAGAGUUUUGUCUUUGUAUAGGCAAAUCUUGAGGAGCCUUAACUCACCUUCUUUGCCAUUGAGCUUUGCAGCUAGACUUCAAAAGAAAGCUGAGGUCCGUGCCAUGUUCAUGUUGGGUUCCGAGGAGCAAUCUCUUCAUAACAUUCAAGAUCUUAUUGAUGCUGGCGAAUACUCUCUUUCCCUUUUAAGAAAAGGCGAAAUCCCAAAGCACAUUCAAGUUUAUCAAUAAGUUCGGACAAUUUUCUUUGGUGCUUUUUCCCAUCAAAUGAUGAAAUAAAUAAAAUAUCAUUCUGAUGAAGAGAACGAGAUAGAUAACUCAUAGAUGUCUAAGAAUGGAUAUGCUGUCAGCUGCUUUGGACGUGAACUUUUGUGAACUGUGAAGAUGGAUCAACUGCACUAAAAUUUUGUUUUGCGCUCUCUUGAUCAACUAGUCUAUUUUGUUUACACUUGGAGGUUGCUAUAAGCAUGUUGCCGUCAUUUUGUUCAGGCAAAGCUGUUAUAGUGGGAGGCUUGGAGCUGCUUCUCUUUGAAACUAGGGGUGGUCCUGUGGCAAUCACAUAAACUGUCCAUUUCGAAAGUUCCUACAUUUUGGUCACGGUGUUUGCAUCAGUUAAACUUUGAAGUAUAUGAUGAACAAAAUUUAGCAUAUUUGAAGAACAUUGAUAAGAUGAUCAACUACUUGUAGAGAACUAGCUACACUUGAAAUUUCAAUUACAGACAAGAUCCCAAGCUUAUAUUGAA